GAUGAAUAUUGUUAAUUGGUGCCAUUUCUUCAGUGCAGGAAAGAAUUUCCAAUCAGACUAGCAAUUCAUCUGCCACGCAAACAUCGACUUACUAAUGAAAAGAUGAAGUUUCGGAAUCCUUGUUAACGGCUACUUUGAAUGAAACAACUAUGAAUAUUACCAUCCAACUAUUUUUGUGGACAUAUGUUCUCAUUUCUCUUGGAUAAAUACCUAGAGAUGGAAUUGCUGUGUCACAAAAGUGUGGUAAUUAUACCACCUGCAUUGAACUCACCUGGAAUCCUUCAUAAAAUGCUGGAUCCUUGACCCCGUUGGACAGAAUCUCUGAACGCAUGAGCCUAAGGCAGCAGAGCUUAAAGUUGAGUUGAAGCCAAUGAAGCUGCCGUUUCUGGAAAUCAGAAACGGUCAAAAAUCAGCUCCGGAGCCAAGGACUCCUGAAUUCAGGCGGGACCUGCCAGCGUCGAUAUUUCUCGUACUCUCCCAUGCGGGUCUAACGUGGAAGAUUAUUGAAAUCAGCCAUCGGUGAAUUUGUAUCCAGCUCCUGGACACAGAGGACAGAGCAGCAACUUGAACUGCUUAUGGUAAGAUCCACUGGGCUCUGCUUCAGAUGGAAGACGAAAUGAAGAAAGAAAAGAUACAGCACGGUGGGCAAGAGAAAGUUCUUACUCUUGAGGAUGGAUCAUGGAAGUACUGCCAAAGGAGGACGGCAUUUCAGGAUGCAGCCCUGCUAAGCUGUAGCGAGGUUUCUGAAUAAAAGAGAGCUCGGAGGCCUUGCCCACGACAUGCAGCAAGUCCUGGGUCAGGAGCCCAAGCCGACGCACGGAUCCCACUCCUGGGUUAAUCAGAGGGAAGGCAGGCACCUGUGAGCAAACAUUGCACAAAUGUGGGGUGAGCUUGCAUCCCUUACUGUGAUGACCUUGGGCCCGAGGAAAGUUACUGGAGAAGCUGUUAGAGAUUUCCCUGGUGAUAUCCAGGACCAGACAAUGAAAGUGCUCCGUAGUCAAGAUAGGACUUGGUUUCCAUAAUUUGUUGUAUGCCUAAAAAAAAUACAACCUUUUACAAAGAUCUCAUUCCCAUACUUCAUGGUCCAUUCCCUGGCAAUUUGGGAAAUGCAGUCAGCCAGCUGAACUGACUGGUGAAGAGACCCAUUCAGAGUUCAAGGUGAGGCCUCAAGUCCAGCAAGAUGUUACAUCCCUAGAAACACUGAACCUUGGUGGGCAUGGGCACUUCCAACACAGGGGCCUCUAUGGCAAUUUUGGCAUGACUGAAAUGGAGUGACUACUUCAUCCUCCUCCGCUUUCCCUUGUCACAGGCCUUUUUUUUUCUUUUUUUUUUGCGGUACGCGGGCCUCUCACUGCCGUGGCCUCUCCCAUUGCGGAGCACAGGCUCCGGACGUGCAGGCUCAGCAGCCAUGGCUCACAGGCCCAGCCGCUCUGCGGCAUGUGGGAUCCUCCCGGACCGGGGCACGAACCCGUGUCCCCUGCAUCGGCAGGCGGACUCUCAACCGCUGCGCCACCAGGGAAGCCCCUGUCACAGACCUUUUCAUCCUUGGUCCUGUAAUAGCUUGAAAUGAUCAUCUACAGAAUUUGUUAUUUUCUGUUAUGUAAGUGCCUUGACUUAAUUUUAUUACUAAUACUUAUUACCUCAGCAUCUAUGAGUACCGUCCUGUGCUUUAUUUUCUUCAUCUAAAAUUGGGAAAAAUAACAACAGUA